AUUGAACGCUGGCGGCAGGCUUAACACAUGCAAGUCGAACGAGUGGCGGACGGGUGAGUAAUGCUUGGGAAUCUAGCUUAUGGUGGGGGAUAACUACGGGCAACUGUAGCUAAUACCGCGUACCAUAGGAUGAGCCCAAGUGGGAUUGGGUAGUGGGAGAGGUAAAGCCUAACCAAGCCGACGAUCUCUAGCUGGUCUGCGAUGGUGACGAGCCUGGCUGGGAGUGAGGCACGGUCCAGACUACUACGGGAGGCAGCAGUGGGGAAUAGUGAGCAAUGGGGUCAAACUGACGCAGCCAUGCCGAGUGAAUGAAGAGGGCCUUCGGGUUGUAAAGUUCUUUCGGUAGCGAGGCGUUACAUACAGAAGAAGCACCGGCUAAAUCCGUGCCAGCCGCCGCGGUAAUUC
rnacentral:rRNA from 1 species